rnacentral:rRNA from 1 species
UACGGGGGGGGCAAGCGUUGUUCGGAAUUACUGGGCGUAAAGGGCUCGUAGGCGGCCAACUAAGUCCGACGUGAAAUCCCCAGGCUCAACCUGGGAACUGCGUCGGAUACUGGAUGGCUUGAAUCCGGGAGAGGGAUGCAGAAUUCCAGGUGUAGCGGUGAAAUGCGUAGAUAUCUGGAGGAAUACCGGUGGCGAAGGCGGCAUCCUGGACCGGCAUUGACGCUGAGGAGCGAAAGCCAGGGGAGCAAACGGG